CUGGGGAUAGAGCAUGCAGCUAAAAAAGGCCCCUGUCCCAAUGAGUCAAAGAACUGAGGGGAUUCUACAAUGUGGCAGUUCCAGUUUAAAAGUGGAGACAGCUCUGAACAAACCAUGACAGUUUGCAUGGAACGGAGGGGUUCCACAUGCUAAAACCAGAAAAGUCCUGAGAAAACUGGGACCCAGUUUCUGGCUUAGGAAUGAAGUAAUCAGUCUAUGAGACAGGGAAGGCAGCAACAGGAACAGAUUCAGAUUUUGUAAUUGAGUUAAACACCUACGAUAGAUUAAAACAGCCACAAAAGAAAUUCUUUGCAGCUCUUUCCAUGAAGAGGAGGAGUCAAUUUCCCCACCCCUUGAAUCUGAGCUGAUAGAGACUUGGUUUGACUGAAUGAAAGAAAAUGACUUUGUGUGAAUUCCAAGCCUAGGCCUUGAGAGACCUCCGAACAAGCAAAUAAAAAAUAAAAAAAAAGAAACCAU
rnacentral:lncRNA from 1 species